rnacentral:misc_RNA from 1 species
AGCACUGCUUCACAACAAUGCCAUAAACGCUCCGGUUAAAUUACGACUCAGUGGCGUAACAACGCUGGAAAGGAAGAACGCUCGCCGGAUCAACUUAAACAUGUUGGUGCUUUAAACGUUUGGAAAAUAUUAAAUCAACCAACGGUACAUUCCAUAAUACCGCCAUUUGCUGGGUGCACGAUCGUCAUAAAACGGUGGAAAGAAGCGACGCAGUGAGGCGAUGUGCCUUCAAAAACAUGUCCACUUUCACGGGACACGAAAACGGGCUCGAAAACUACCCGGAGAUCGGUGUACAGCACAAAUCCCAUAUUCUGCUCUACCUAAAUGGCCAACGAAAUACAUGCACACAUUUAUUAUUACAUACAUAAUACGAAUUAUUACG